rnacentral:lncRNA from 1 species
GGAUAGCCAUGCUGGAAUCAUGCUUUUCUUUAACUGUUGCUCGUGGAUCUUUGUUGAUUUGUCUGAUCACAUGCUUGACAAAUUUAGUUCAGGCCCCAUGGGAACUGGAAUGGUGCGUGUUUAGUUGCCCUGGUUGUGAAAGGUAUAAGUUUCUGGUUUUGCUGCCCGAACCCCAGAUGCUUGCCUUGGUGGGAGAUGAUAGUGGGAGUAUCAAGAUUGUUUU